rfam:Ovis aries breed Texel chromosome 1, whole genome shotgun sequence.
UCCCUGGCGGUCCAGUGGCUAAGACUCCUUGCUCCCAAAGCAGGGAGCCCCGGGUUCAAUUCCUGGUCAGGGAA